CAAGUGUCCCAGGUCCCUUCUCUGGUGGGAUUCUUCUCCGUGCGCUACGCCACAGCCGAAGUCAUUCUACCGGUUCAGGGCUACGUGUGCGUGCAUAUUGACAGGUCUUCAGCGCGAGUACAACGCUCUGCACUCACAUCGGGCCGCCUAUCAGUCAACCUUCGCAAGAGAGCGAGAGAAACCAGAGCACAUGUCUCGAAUUUCAACUGUCGCCUCGUAACAACGGUUGUAAAUGGCACCACACCGCUCCCCAGCAGACCGGGUGCUCCCUAUCCCUACAGCUUUCCUAUCGGUUGACAUUUAUGCUUGGAGCGGAGUUGAGUCGAAACCUAGGAGAGACGACAAAGGCGGAGCGAGAGUGCAAUGCGCUCAGCAAGGUGUUGCUGAGCCCUUUCCUAGUGUCCGCACUCAACAUGGUCCACGAGCAGCACAUACGUCGAAGAAACAGCUAUUCGGCACCGUUUUUUUAUUACCAUUGUCUUAAGGGAUGUAGAUAUCGAAACCGUGUGCCCGGUAUAAGGCAUUUGGAUCUGCUAGGAGCGCUAGCAACUAGACCCCUAAACCGAGUCCUUCACCAGUUUCACGGGGUCCGUGUGUUCCGUGAAAUUGGAUACUUUUUCCACCGAUCACUGCUGACUCAUGCGCACCACCAACCCGCUCAACCCGCUUCGCUCGAUCUAUUCCAGGCGGCGUACGAGCGAUCGAGGCUGCGCUUUUGCGCUGCAGCACCAUCAUCUCCGCAUCGGACCAAACCGGCACUCUAUCGUGUGCUAUUCUACCGCGCGGGAUAACGACGUACUAUCUCUCUAGACUGUUUGAUCCCCCAAGCUCCUCCUCCCGCUUCUUCGCGCUUCCUCUCUCACUAAUUGAUUUACGACUCCACGGCACGGACGCAACGUAUUUCGGCAACAUAAUACCGCGGAAGGAGCGAAAAAUCGAGUGAAGUAACAACAAAAAAAUCGCAACAAAUUCGAGAGUUCCUAAAUUCAACCAGCAACAUCAACAACAAUAAAAAGCAUACCACCACCGAAACACACAUAAAGUUGAAGGUCGCCCGAAUUGAUACUUGAGUGCGGACGCAUACAGCGCAGCCUCUUGCCUAGCGUUGCGUUGCGGAGGCGUUGCGGAGGCGCUGGAGAGAGGACCGUGAGGUGAGGGGGGUGAGUGCCAAACAUCUAUCAGCAGUUCUGCACUUCAUCAUUCGAAUCUGGGGGAAAUCGAAACCGAGGAACCAGCAACACCCCCGGGUCAGUCAUUCGGCGGUCAAUGCUUCGCGCAAGAGUUUCGCGGCUAUUCGUUUGCUUUAAUGUGCCUCCAAAAUGCCGCACGGGAAGAGGCUCUCCCACUCCGCCAUUAACGAAAUUAGUUUCGCAGCUGUGUAGUGUACUUUUUAGUGUGCGUGAGUAUGAGUGCGGCUCUUGCUUUCAGCCACUCAUUGGCGCAAUGCGCGCAACCGGUGCGUCAGCGUGCGCUCGCCUAUCGCGCUCUCGCGGUCUAGCCCGGUUUAGUUCUAGAUUCUCCUCCUUGCCCGGCCUGUCCAGACGACAGCCUAUAAAUCAGGCUAACGACACGGCGGGUGGCCGGUGGACAGCUGACCGCAGCAGAAUCACAGUUUUCGCACAGUGAUUUAUGCGUGGAAAACUAGCCGUGCCAUACUACUUCGUGGUAGGUCGCAGUGCAAAGUAGUCCAACAGGCAGCACCAGCAGCCCCAGUGCUUUCCUUUCGGACAAGAUGAGCGGACUACGCAAGCACGUGUGUUGAUGUUUUUGGCGAAUUUUUGCAACGUUUCAAUGAAUUUUGUUUUGGCAGUGUUUUGACAAACGAGAAAUACAUAUUCCAUGCAGCACCGGCACGUAUAGACGCGACGGGCACAGUACAGUUAGGGUUGAUGACGUCGGCAAGACACACGAUACGGUGUUUGGAUCAAAAGACCAUAAAUAAUAAAAUGAUUAAACA